GAAGCAGCGGGACAGCAUCGGGAGCCCCUGGGACAGCAUCGGGAGCGGUGAGGAUGCGGUCCGGAGCGGCGGGGACAGCGGAGCAGUCACGUAGUGUGUGAAGGGUGUUGGUGUAGAUAUAACACAGUCCGGUCUACUUCAAAAGACGUCCAUCCGUAAGCAGUGGAGUGAACCCAUCACUGACCUUUGAGAGCUGGAGGAGACAAUACUUUUACUAUUCUCUACUUCUGAGCAGUGUGAGGUAUGGUCGCUGAGCGCUAAGCUGCUUAAAAAGAGAAGAUGGUGACCCUGGUGACAAUAAUGUUAACUCUACAUUUAUGUGAUGGGACGAAGCAAAGAACAUCCGGAAAACAAGCAGCGUGGGUGUAAGGAUAGACGUGUGAGCUGCUAUGGGCCCAGAGGGACGGCCACGUAUGUGCUAAAACAUACAAUGCAUUUGGAAA